rnacentral:lncRNA from 1 species
GUUUGGGUGUGGCCGCAUGGCGUGCUGUGGUGCAGGUGGCCGAAGGGGGCGUUACUGUUGCGACUGGCAUCCGCAUCCGGCAGAUGUAGAUGGAACCAAAGUCCAGAAGUUACGCGUCACCCUUGCUCUACAGCCAAACAUGCAGGACUCUAGUAACCCGCGAAAUGAUGGGAUAGCGUUGCAAAUCCUUAAAAGAGUCUUAACGAAAUCCUGGCUGACAUUGACUUCUCCACUGCAACCAUCGAGUUCAUUGUCUCCUAAACCUUGCCAUGGAGGCCUGUGGCACCUGAGCCAGCCAUUAUCAUCACCAGCACUUCCAUGAGCUACAAGCUGGACCCACUGCAGUCCUCCUGACACACUGAAAUCAGAGCCUGCACACAGAGCAGCAGAUGCUUCAAUGUAAAGCUAUGUGUUCCAAGAUUACUGAAGCAGGAUUCUGGCCUUCCUGAUAAGAACAUGACCAGAUCCAGCUGGUUUGCAACAAGAUGAACUUCAGUGCUGAGCUUUCACCAAGUUUUUCUCACUACAAUCUCAUUGUAAUACUAAAAUCUCCACCCAAGAUGGAGGUUAUCUGCCAUUUUCUGUACAUGUGUUACCAGAAAGGGGUCCUGAUCCAGACCCCAAAAGAGGGUUCUUGGAUCUCACGCAACAAAGAGUUCGGGGCGAGUCCAUAGAGUAAAGUGAAAGCAAGUUCAUCAAGAAAGCAAAGGAAUAAAGAAUGCCUACUCCAUAGGCAGAGCAGUGGCUUUGGCUGCUCAGCUGCUUGUACUUGUUACUUCUUGAGUAUAUGCUAAACAAGGGAUUGAUUACUCCUUGUUUAGCAGUUUUCUGGGAAAGGAGUGGGCAAUUCCCAGAACUGAGGGUUCCUCCCCUUUUUAGACCAUAUAGGGUGACUUCCUGAUGUUGCCAUGGCAUUUGUAAACUGUCAUGGCGCUAGUGGGAGUGUCUUUUAGCAUGCUAAUGCAUGAGCAGUGAGGAUGACCCGAGGUCAUUUUUGUUACCAUCUUGGUUUUGGUGGGUUUUGGCUGGUUUUGGCCGGCUUCUUUACCACUUCUUUUUAUCAGCAAGGUCUUUGUGACCUGUACUUAGUGCCGACUUCCUGUCUCAUCCUGUGAGUAAGAAUGCCUAAUCUCUCAGGAAUGCAGCCCAGUAGGUCUCAACCUUAUUUUACCCAGCCCCCAUUCAAGAUGGAGUGACUCUGGUUCAAAUGCCUCUGACACAUGUGCCUCAUGUUUGGGCAUGAGACCUCACUGUGUAGGUGCAGAGAAGACCCUGCCUAAACAUUGCCUACACGUUGCUCCUUUUUCCUGCCUCAACUUCCUUAAAAUGACAAGAGCAGAGCCCUUUUGGGAGCUAACAUCAGGACUCCUUUUCUGUACUCUGCUCCGUUGUGCUGCUAGAGCCACAAGCCUAUUAAACUUUGCCUGAAAUAAAUUCCUAUUUGCGCUGGUGUUAAUUUUUACUUAUGAGUGAGCCAAGAACUCAGGCCAGAGUUGCGGUAACACCACCAGAAGAGGUCUCCGCUUGUCAGACUUGAGGGAUAUCAUCAAUGAGCCUCUGAGCUAAUGGUGUAAACCAAAAAUAAAAUUCUAAGCCCCCCGCCAGCCAAACCAUCUGAAUGGACUUCCUCCUCAGCCAGGGUGCUCUUAAAAUUUAACCUGAGAGACUGGUUCAGGUCAUGAUGGGAAGUAGGGGUUGGACAUGCCUCAUUAUACCUCUCCAGCAUUAACAUCAACAUAAACCCUAAGUCUAAGAAAUUUUUACAACCUAUUCUCUCUGAAGCUGACUACCUUGGAGGCUUCAUCUGUUUCAUAAAAUUUUGGUCUCCACAACCUCUUACUUCAACCCAGAUAUUUCCUUUCUAUUGAUCCCAGGUCUUUAGAUAAACUUAACCAAUUGUCAACCAAAAAAUUUUUAAAUCUGCCUAUAAACUGGAAGCUCCGCACUCCGCUCCCCUCCCCUCCCCGCCCUUCGAGUUGUCCUGCCUUUCUGGACAGAACCAAUGUAUUUCUUAAAUGUACUUGAAGUCUCAUGUCUCCCUAAAAUGUAUAAAACCCAGCUGCUCCCUGACCACCUUGGGUACAUGUUUUCAGGGUCUCCUGAGGGCUGUGUCAUGGGUUAUAGUCACUCAAAUUUGG